GCAGAGGUGGUUCAGAGGUAGAAUUUUUGCCUUCCAUGCAGGAGCCCUGGGCUUGACUUCCGGCCAAUGCA
rnacentral:tRNA from 1 species